ACAAACCCCACAUCAGUGGCUCCUCAUUUCCCAGCUCCUCCUUGGAUGUGCCUUUCUCAUCCCCACAGAAAACUCUUCUGCAUUUCAGGAUUGGCUGGCUGAUCUUUCUUUUUGCUGGCAGCUCUUCCUGCUCUCGUUAGUACAUGAAAGUCUAAUUGUGCUGGGCAGCUCUGUCCUGACAAAGCAACUUUGAAAUUAUCUGUGAAAUGCAACUAGACAUCACUAAUUCUACUUCUUUAGAAUUACUUAAAGGAAAAGAAGAAAACCACAAAAACAUAGGACUACAGCCUUGCCAUUUUUUUUUUUCUGAGAGGAUCAUAAAUUAUUUAAAGUUUCUUCAUCUUCAGAAUGCCCAGAUGAAUGCUCUGAGAUAUUCAAAGGCCAGAAGCUGAAAUAUUAUACAGGCAGCAACCUGUACUCAACAUGGAAAAAAUAACAAGCAGGCAGGAAGAAAUAACCAGCAUCAAACAGCAAAAUCAACAUUUUUGUUCAUCUUGUAAUGAAUACUGUGAGCAAGCCAAGAUCCAGCAGUACCCCAAUAAAAAACCAGAGGGUUUUAUUUCUUGAGGAGCAAUGGCAUCAUCAAUAAAUGGG